CUGCCUGGCGCGGGUGGGGCUGAUGGAGCCGGAAGGGGCGGGGCCGGCCGAUGGGAGCCGGAAGCAGAGAGGCGGGGGCUCGGCGACGCGCCCGUUGCCGGGAGACCGGGCUGAGCUGGGCGGGCGGGUCAUGGAGCCUCGGCGCCCGGGAGAGCCGCAGGCCUCAGGCCGCCUUCGGCUCGGGCCGGCUCUGCCCCGGGGCGGGGCCCCUUCGUGUGCCGGGGGGAGAUGGGGGCGCAGCCCGGGGUCCACGGGGGGGCGGUGUGAAAUCCUCACUGCCCCCCCCCAGCUGCCCGACAUCUGCCCAGUGCCAGGGAGUCUCUGCCCCAGCCCCCCCCCCCCCCCCCGGAAGCAGCUCCCCAGAGGCUCACGAGCUGCCCUGGAGAAGCCAUCAAAGUCCCCCACUUCUCUCACGUGGAUAUUGGUGUUGAGCUUCCUGGGUCAAAUGCUGCUGCCUCCACCGUGACCUUGAAGCUCAGGCUGAGCAGCUGCUGCUCCCCGAGAGGGGUCUGAGCUGGGGAGUGACCUUGAGUAAAACUUCUGUUCCCAGCCAAGGCUGCAGUGUAACAUCCCAUCCUUCCAGGGAGCAAGGAAGGGAAAUGGCUGCCGUGGAGCCGGUUCAGGGGCCAGUGAAUUUCGAGGAGGUGGCUGUGCUUUUCACCAAGGAAGAGGGGGCUCUGCUGGACCCCUACAGAGAGCCCUCUACAGAGACGUCAUGCAGAAGAACUAUGAGAACGUGACCUCGCUGGGACAACCUGCGAAGAGAACUGCUGGUCAGGUAACAAAGCCAGUUGACUUCCAUUUCUGCUCAGAUGAGAGGAUUAAACAGCACACAGAAAGCCAACCUGGGAAUGAAUACAAGAAACUGGAUUUCGUAGCAGCACUGAGAAAGUACCCCGCAACUCCGGUGAGAGGAUGAGGAAGCAAGGGUGCUACCUGAUUGUUCUAGAUCUAUUGGUGGCUGUCUCUUCCUGUUCCACUGUUUGCUAAUGUGGGAUUUGCUGAUAGUAAUUCACUGGGUGUGAAUGAAAGAGGUCAUGUGGGAUGUGACAGACUAGUAGAAGUGCUGUGGACUUACUGAGCAACACAAUGCUGGCUGUCGGCAUCUCUGCAGAGUUUCCAAACUGGCCGAUCCCAAGUUUUUAGUAUGUCCAACCAGCUCACAAGUGGUGGAAGUGGAAUCUGGAAUCCCAUCUACUAUUCCAACAGGUUGAGUUCCCAUGAGGCUUUGAAACAAGAGUAGUAUGCCUUUCCUUGUACACCUACUCCUCAGAUCUCCAAGGUAGGAACUAAGUAUUCUUCCCUUACAGAUGAUUCCUUAUCAGCAAGGCAGUUACAAGUCCUCAUCCUAGUAACAUACCAAGGAUUCGAUUUCCAAGCUGGAGUCUGCUUAUUUAGCUACCUCUGAGUAUCCAUGCAGUAGGGUCUAUCCCCAGCAGGGCUGAGUAUGCACAGCUGUUCAAAUUAGUGGGAGCUGUGGGUGCUCUUGACUCUGCAUGGAUUCUCUUCUUGCUGUCAAGGUAGUUUUGGGAGAAGAGAACUUCAGGGAGUUCAUUAAUACAAGUUGAAGAUAUGUCUACAGUAUCUUCUACAUAGUUACCUGUUGAGGUGGCAGUUGAGCGGUUAGGUGUAAACGGUGUUCUUGCUACCAGAUGGGACUGGGUGAAUACAGUAAUGAAGGUAGUGAUGUCUGCCCAACAACUGGGGAAAUUGUUCCAUGUAACAGAACACAGCCUCUGUGACUCCCCGGAAUCGUAUGUCAUUAAAAAGGAGAUACUGGCCAUGGCUGCUGGGGUUGUGCCAGUAGUAACUGGAAUCCCACUGGAUUUCAAUACUUUAGCUUUUAAGACUGCAUUGUUAGAUGGUUUGAAUUCAAGAAUGAAGGUAAUUUUAGGACCCAUAGAUCCAGCUAGGGGAUACCCAGAGUUAAAACAUGAAAUUGUUCGAGAAGCUGUAGUUUUUAAAGACAUGCAGGGACAAGCGGGAAAAGGAAAUAAGGACAGGAAUAUGGAGCCUGUACAGGCGGUAACUUUUGCCAACAACUGGGACCCAGAUCACCAAGGGAAGCUGGGAGGAAAGGGGCCUGCUGCACUAUGACAUGUUAGAGGAAGGGGACAGGGAGGUGCAAUGGACAGCAGAGGUGCAAGAGGAAGAAAUGGAUCUGGACAUGGGUAUCAGAUGCAGACUAGAGGAUGUCUGGCUCAAGCUGGGAAAGGUACAUUGAACUUCCCUGCUCCCAUACUCCAAGCCGGCUAUGCUCCCUGCAGCUGGUUCGCUUCCAAACCACACCCAGGGACCAACUGUACAUGCUCGUGCUCCACACAUUGCAUGUCCUCACCCUCUUAUCCCGCCACGACUCCAAGUGGCGGGACUAUUUACCACCUGUGGAGGGUGAGGAGCCCCGGUGGGCCAGCCUCUAUUCCACCUUGGUCCCACGGCCCACCAGAGACAUCGGUUGGCAACUCCUUCAUGGAGCCGUAAGCACGGGUGUGUAUCUGGUGUGGUUCACCCCCAUUCCCGAGGCCUGCCCCUUCUGCAGAGUGAGGGAGAGCCUGGCACAUGCCUACCUCGAAUGCACCAUGUGGCAGCCCCUAUUCCGGCUCCUCCAGAACCUCUUGUUGAGGUUCUGGCUGCAUUUUUCCCCCCACACCUGUUCAUUUUCGCACACCCUAUCCAUGGCCCCACGAAGUCGUGAGACCUCCUCAUCAACCUCCUCCUGGCUCUGGCCAAAGUUACCAUCUAUAACACCAGGAGGAGGAUGUUGGACGAGGGGGUGCUCUGCAACUGUGGGGCCUAUUUCUGUUCCUCCCUAGUCUCACGUCUCCGGGCAGAGUUUUACUGGGCAGCGUCCGCUGGCUCCCUCAACAGCUUUGAGGAGCAGUGGGCGCUGUCCAGGGUUCUCUGCUCGGUGUCUCCAUCUGGUACCCUUGUUUUUAACCUGUGACCAUCACUCCCGACCCUGUUUUCUCAUUAGUUGUCCCACGCAACCAGUUGGAAUCCAGGUCCAGAGGUCCCUCCUUGCGCUCACCCACCUCCCAGGAUAUCCAAUAAGGUCUCACUGUAUGCACCCCACCCGCGCUUCAAGCCAUUUGGAGGAGCGCGGGUCCACUGCUCUGUCUCGAUGUUUACCUUUCUGCCGCUCAUCCUUCUCCGCCAGAGAACUGGCAGGGUUUGGAGGCCAGGAUGGGUGAGUGGUGAGGGAGAUGGACAGGACUGCUCCAGUGUCUCUCCCUGUGCGGGAGGGCACUGGUGCUGAACCAGCUAGUUCUGUCCCUGCUCUGGCACUGGCUCAACACCCUGAGCCCGGUCGCAGGGAUCCUGGCCAGGCUCCACAGGACAGCUCUGGAGUUUUUCUGGCCAGGACUGCACUGGGUGUCUGCAGGGGUCCUGAGUCUUCCCCUGGAGAAGGGAGGACAGGACCUGGUCUGCCUUCGUAGCCAGGUCCAUGUCUUCUGCCUCCAGGCCCUGCAGAGACUCCUUUGUGGUGCAGGUACUCCAGCGUGAAGCAUGUUGGAGCAUGCCUUCCUCCGCCACCUGCUCCUCCUGCCUCUCUGCAGUCUGCUCUGGAUGGGAACCACUUGUGCAUCUUUGCAUAUGGGCAAAACAAUGUAAUAUCAGGCUGUUAAGAAAGAGAUCCUGUCCUAAUAACACCCACUAUCACCAGAUAAAGAAACAGAUCUUAAGAUGGUUAAAGAAAACUUAGUUUGAUGGCAUCUGUCUGGCAAGAAAUCUCUGAUCAAUAGUUUCUUUAUUGUUUUGUCUUUAUGGUCCCCACUUUUCUAUUUCAGAGUAACAGCCGUGUUAGUCUGUCUUUGCAAAAAGAAAAGGAGUACUUGUGGCACCUUAG